CUCCAACCUCUGAUGAUCACAAGAUUCCGCCACCACGCUUGCCACCGCCACCACGAAAACUAGUACAGAAGAGAAGAAGGAGGUCCUCAGAUGACGGUACAACGUUCGAAUUCUUCGAAAAAUCCAGGCGUGAAGAGAUUUCUUUUAAUCUUCGUCGUCUGUGAGACUUGAACCCAACACCCCUUUCUCCUAAAUUCAGGUGUUUAAAGGCUUUGCCUUUGUCAAUGAACUACCACCUCGUUGAUAUUUCACAUAAGUUCGACAGACGGAUUUUGGAUGGUCUGCAUGUUUAAUAAGACCAUAUGUAGUGGGACAUUAUCAUAAUGCCUCUCCCUUGGACAUGAAGUGACAUGUGACAUAUGGUGCAUUAUGGGAGGUGAAGUUAAAAAGGGGUGUGUUGUGAAGAUUUGUGAAGAUGUGGGGGAAUCUGAUUGGCCAUUCAAAUUCAUUCCGGCGUGUUUGAGAGAACGCCAUUAAAAAAAGGCUGAAAACGCCCCGGGGGCGGUGUGGUGUGCAUUGUGGGGCAUUUUUGGGGCAAUGCACGCCCAAUUCAGCUACCACUACAGGUGGUCUAAUCACAGAUCUUACCCGAGGUGAACUUAUUCUGAUUUUUUGGUGAAAUGCUCAAAGUAGAUUAUAGAUGCCAAUUUAAUUCACAUUAUUAGAUUUAACAGAUCGUCUUGGAUUCAAACUAGAUAGCUAAUUAAUUUGAAGUUUCGCAAACAAGAUUUUUCUUUAUAUUGUGCUGUGUGUAUGUAUCAACCUAUAUAAGUUUUCUGUUUUCUUUU